GUUCAGAAAUGGGAAUCGAACCCACAGUGUUCCGCUUACCGGGCAGAUGUCAUGUCCACUAGGCUACCCUGGA
rnacentral:tRNA from 1 species